rnacentral:rRNA from 1 species
CACGUAGGGGGCGAGCGUUGUCCGGAAUCAUUGGGCGUAAAGAGCUCGUAGGCGGCUCAGUAAGUCGGGUGUGAAACCCCCAGGCUCAACCUGGGGACGCCACCCGAUACUGCUGUGGCUAGAGUCCAGUAGGGGAGUGUGGAAUUCCCGGUGUAGCGGUGAAAUGCGCAGAUAUCGGGAGGAACACCAGCGGCGAAGGCGGCACUCUGGGCUGGAACGUGACGCUGAGGAGCGAAAGCGUGGGUAGCGAACAGG